ensembl:lncRNA
UCAUUUAGAUGUGUAGGAGUCAUAGCUUAUUAUUAUUUUACACAUUUAUUGUAAUUUAACCUGAAUCCAUUUAAAUUCUAUUUUGUGUUUCUUUUUCAGAAACAUUUGCGUUUAAGGUACGUGGAUGCUUUUAAAAAUUAGGCAUACAGAUUAACAUACAUAUAUAUAUUUUUUUGUAAUACAUGAUUUUCACCCCACAAAUUAAUAUGAGUGAAGUUGAUUAGUCCUGCAUGUUUUUUUUUUUUUUUCAGGGCCAAAAAGGUGAACCUGGUGACAUUCCUUAUGUGAGUGGCAUUCCUUAUUAUGCUUCUGUCCAUCAUUUUUGCAAUAUUUUAUGAAAAUCUCAUUAGUGUUAAUCAUGUUACAUACAGAUUUCAUAUUAUUUUAUUACUUUUAAUUUACUUUUUUUUUUUUUUUUAGAUUGUGGGAAUACCUGGAAGCCCAGGAGCAAUGGUGAAAAAAUAAUGCGUGCACACACACAUAUACCUCUAAUCUAUUAUUUUUUCCCAGAAUCCCCAUUCUUUGAAACUGUCAAUCAAAGUAAAGUCCAUUAUCUUCUGUGUCACAUCGUACAGGGUCCCCCAGGAGCAGAUGGCAGACCAGGAUAUCCAGGAAGCAAAGGAAGACGAGUAUGUGGCAUAAAACAAUAGCCUCUAUAGGAAUUUCUAUUCUGUUAUGUGACUGUUUCAUCUCAGAAACACAUUAAAAUUAUGUACAAAGAGUGGCUUUCUUUCUUUUUGAUGCAUGGAAUGUACUGUAAAUUAUGGCUCAUCAAUGUUACUUUGAGUGACUGCAGAGUCAUAAUGUAGUAAAUGACAGCUAAAUUGGUAAAUCGUGUCAUACCAUAUUUUUCGCAAAGGGUGUCCCAGGUCCACCUGGUUUUGAUGGAGAGCCAGGUGUCCCAGGCAUGCCAGGUGAGCCCGGUCCUGCAGGCACUUCACUGCCUGGGAGCCAGUUUGGUUCUCAGAUGGCUUCUGGAUUUCAGGAUGGAAAGCUUGGAAUGGCGGCGAUGGUCUCUGGAGAACCGGUAAAUAUCUUUACACAUUCAGAAAGGACUUUUAUAUGAAUAUAUUAGCUUGAUUGCCAUACAGAACUACUAAACAGAUAUAAAAUGUAUUUGUUCUGAUCAGGGUGAAUCAGGACCAAGAGGUAAUCCAGGCCUACCAGGUCCACCAGUAAGUUGUCUCAAGAUUGAUGUUGUGUAUAUGCAAUAAAUGUCUUUAACCCCACCCCCCA